CUUCCUUUUCUCUUUUAUCCCUUUUUCAAUUUUCUUCUUUUCUCCUUCAUCGUGUCGCCCACCAAACUCAUUUUUCCUUAGCGUCCUUCCCUCCUCCACUGGUGCUAAUUUUUGUCAUUUUUCUUCCUCCUUUUGAUUUUAUUUCAUUAUUUUUUCAGCCUUGAAUUAGUCUCUUGAACCACUCAAAAAUUGGAUCCCACUGUUGCCACAAAGAUCUCCAUUUUCGCCCCUUUAACUUGCUAGAGCAUUGAUUUAAACAUCCUAGAACAACAGUGAAGCCAUUUUUCGUCCGCGCUCUCGCUUUGCACCAUAUCAUUGUACGUUUAAGUUUGGUGAAGGAAGCGUAGAUUUCACAAGUAGUACUGUGGUUUUGUGAAAUUAAGGUGAAGUUGGCAAGGCAAUUAAUUCUUCGAAACCUAGAAUCAUUGGUGUUUUGCUAUUUCUUGAAGAUAAGGAGUCAAAUUGGGGUUUUAGGUUGAAAUUCUUCGUUUAAAAUUUAAUGUUUGAUAUAUCAAUUUUUGUGAAUUGGGUUUGGGAAUCGUCUUAAUUGGUGGUUUAAUUAUUGUUUUU